UACGAAGGGGGCUAGCGUUGCUCGGAAUCACUGGGCGUAAAGGGUGCGUAGGCGGGUCUUUAAGUCAGGGGUGAAAUCCUGGAGCUCAACUCCAGAACUGCCUUUGAUACUGAGGAUCUUGAGUUCGGGAGAGGUGUGUGGAACUGCGAGUGUAGAGGUGAAAUUCGUAGAUAUUCGCAAGAACACCAGUGGCGAAGGCGGCUCACUGGCCCGAUACUGACGCUGAGGCACGAAAGCGUGGGGAGCAAACAGG
rnacentral:rRNA from 1 species